rnacentral:rRNA from 1 species
CCGGCGACCGGCGCACGGGUGAGUAACACGUAUGCAACCUGCCCGUGGCAGGGGGAUAAGCGGGGGAAACCCCGUCUAAUACCGCGUAACGCGGCCUAGGGACAUCCCAAGGCCGCCAAAGGGAGCAAUCCCGGCCACGGAUGGGCAUGCGGCGCAUUAGCUAGUCGGCGGGGUAACGGCCCACCGAGGCGACGAUGCGUAGGGGUUCUGAGAGGAAGGCCCCCCACACUGGUACUGAGACAUGGACCAGACUCCUACGGAAGGCAGCAG